CGCUGUCAUAUUGCUAAUACAGUACGAGCGCUUACUCUCAAUCGAUACAAGUCAGUCGAACACGUUCAUACAGGAUGUACAAGUUAAUUGUACUUACGGCGUUCUUAUUCUUAUAUAUAUUGAUACUCGACGCAAUUAAGGAAAAUCCGCUACUCGAAGCAAUUAAGAAUAUUGUUAGAUUAUAGCAAACGGCUGCGUAGCGUACAUGGAUGGAAGGUGUGAUGGAAAUGAUAAUAUUUUCGCUUCGAUUGAACAAUACGCUUUCAUCUGUGACUACUAUCAUUCCUGUUUCAACCUUUUCUUGUUUCAUCCUGUACUUAUAUUCGAUGUAAUUUCGAAAUUAAAGAAAGCUGCAUCAUAACUUACUAAAUGUAUUUUACAAUCAAAUUGUGUAAUUAUUUGAAAUAAAACCGCAUUCUCUUCUUU